AAUUGGAGGGCAAGUCUGGUGCCAGCAGCCGCGGUAAUUCCAGCUCCAAUAGCGUAUAUUAAAGUUGUUGCAGUUAAAGAGCUCGUAGUUGAAUUUCGGGAUCAAUAUUUCGGUCAUGCCGUUGGUAUGCACUGUUAUCAUUGAUUUCUCACCUUCUAAAGAACCGUAAUGCCAUUAAUUUGGUGUUACGGGGAAUUAGGACUGUUACCUUGAAAAAAUUAGAGUGUUUAAAGCAGGCUCACGCUUGAAUACAUUAGCAUGGAAUAAUGAAAUAGGACAUCCGAUUCUAUUUUGUUGGUUUCUAGGAUCGAUGUAAUGAUUAAUAGGGAUAGUUGGGGGCAUUAGUAUUCAAUUGUCAGAGGUGAAAUUCUUGGAUUUAUUGAAGACUAACUACUGCGAAAGCAUUUGCCAAGGAUGUUUUCAUUAAUCAAGAACGAAAGUUAGGGGAUCGAAGACGAUCAGAUACCGUCGUAGUCUUAACCAUAAACUAUGCCGACUAGGGAUCGGAUGAUGUUAAUUUUUUAAUGACUCAUUCGGCGCCUUACGGGAAACCAAAGUGU
rnacentral:rRNA from 1 species